GUGAAGGAUGAAGUUCCUCGGAAUGUAAACUUCAAUAGUAUGUCAGGAAGAUCUGACCAGCAUACGAAAGGGGUGGCUAACUCCGUGCCAGCAGCCGCGGUAACACGGAGACCCCUAGCGUUGUUCGGAAUCACUGGGCUUAAAGAGCGUGUAGGCGGAACGGUAAGUACUUUGUGAAAUCCCCCGGCUCAACCGGGGAAUUGCUUGGUAUACUAUCGUUCUUGAGGCAGGUAGGGGCUGCUGGAACCUUAGGUGGAGCGGUGAAAUGCGUAGAUAUCUAAGGGAACGCCUGUGGCGAAAGCGGGCAGCUGGACCUGUUCUGACGCUGAGACGCGAAAGCGUAGGGAGCGAACGGGAUUANAUACCCCGGUAGUCUACGCCGUAAACGAUGCGCACUAGGUUCGAGA
rnacentral:rRNA from 1 species